rnacentral:rRNA from 1 species
GCGUUGUCCGGAAUUAUUGGGCGUAAAGAGCUCGUAGGUGGUUCGUCACGUCGGAUGUGAAACUCUGGGGCUUAACCCCAGACCUGCAUUCGAUACGGGGGUGCUUGAGUAUGGUAGGGGAGUCUGGAAUUCCUGGUGUAGCGGUGGAAUGCGCAGAUAUCAGGAGGAACACCAAUGGCGAAGGCAGGACUCUGGGCCAUUAUUGACACUGAGGAGCGAAAGCGUG